GCACCUGCGAUGUUGACACGGCACCUUUCUUUGCAAGAGCAGCCUGAGAAACCACAGGAGACUCCUCCUCCUCCUCCUCCUCCUCCUCCUUCAGGAGCUCAGCGUGCUUUACUCAAUGUACUCAAGUCACAGUGUAAUCACACACUCCCUGCACAGCGCUGCACCACCUGUCUUGCUCUGAAAAGCGAUCUCCAUUCAUCAUUUGAAAAUACUGCAUCCCAAUUAAACAAAGUGACGUCCCUAUUAAACAACGUCAAUAGCAUUGAGAAGAACCGUCUCCCAGAGUUGUAUCACAUUUCAGCAGCAAUCUCAAUUAGGCGGUGUGUGUGCAGCCAGGUUUAUAAUAAGUAGUGUUGGAGUGUAUUAACAAGGGUUAAAAGUUGGCAUGUUUGCUGCAGACUCUGGGUCCUUCUGGAGAAAUGGGAGGGAGACCCUGUGCAUCCUGUAGCUGAAUUGAAACUGCAAGAGAGGCUCAUGGGAAGUGUAGUUUUUCUGGUUGUGAAUCUGUAGGCUUUCACAAUGGCCCUUUCCUUGUGGGUUUAAUUUCAUGAAACUUUCCUGGAGUAUAUAGUCUAUAACUAAGAGCGCUGUGAUGUGUAAUAAUAAUGAUAAACAGACAGACGAGUCUUUGAAUAUUUAGUGACUCCAGUGUGUAACGUGGUAUGAAUUUAAGAUUUCUCUUGUGUGUCGGUACAGAGAUGCAGACGGAGCGUGCAAAGAGGAUGGACUCUGCAGGAGAAGAAGCGUCCCUGAAUUCACCUGAGCUGCCCUGGAACCAGCUCUAUUUGAAGAGAAGGACCGAGUCCAGGAUCCAGUUCAGUAGGAGAGUGUGCUUCACUGGCCCUGCUGCUGCUGCUGUUACCGGGGUAUUGGCAAUCCUCAUACUGGCUGCUGGCAGUGUGAGCAGCGACAGUGAGUUUGUGACAGUCCCGAGCUCAGUGAACUGUACUGAGGGGCAGGACUGUAUCCUGAGCUGCACCUUCUACUACACAGCCUGGGAUGAGAGGUCAGGUGUGAUCUGGAGAAGAGCAGAAACGUACCACAUUGUUCACAGUUACCAUGACAACACAGACCAGCUUGCCCAUCAGCUCCCUCAGUAUGUGAACAGGACCAGUCUGUUUGAUUCUGAGCUGCAGCGUGGGAACGCUUCACUGCUGCUGAGGAGAGUCAGGGAGGAAGAUGCCGGAGAAUACAGGUGCUCUGUUUCCACUCCCAGACUGUCCAGGUCGGGCCUGACUGAGGUAGUCGUGGUUCCGGCUCCACCCACACCAGCACCAGAUCAUGUGACAGUCCCGAGCUCUGACCGACACGCCUGGUGGGGUUUAGGAGCAGUUCUUCUUUGUGUGAUUGCAGGGAUCUGUGUCGGUCUGUGGCUCUAUAAAAUACGCGCGGGUCACAGGUGGAAGUCCAACAAGGCUUCUAGUCCAGCCCAGGCAGUGCCGUUAUCAGACGUGAUCGAGGAGCCCAGUGAAGUCAGACAGCUCCCCUGCACUGCUCAAUUUACCCAGUUUAAUACAAGCUCCCAAAACGAAAUAGUCACUUUCAAUUAGCAAACGUGAUCAGUGUUGAAGAGAAGUUUUUUAAAUCGCAUUGUUUCCGAGACAAUUGAACUAUAAUCUGUACUCUCGUUGUCUUUGCACGAUAUCAGAACAAUCCAGCAAAGAGAUACAGUAGUUUAUUCAACAUGACAUUAACCUCUUCAGCUCCAGGAUGCACAUCAAAGGAAAGAGCACUUGCAGUACCACGCCCUGCCUGCGCACGUCAAGGUUUGCCGUCUGUUCUCUGGGGUUUUUAUUUUCAAUCUGAUCUCUUUGUAUUCAUGCUCUGAGGCAGGGUUAGUGUGUGUGUUUUGAAGUCGGGGAGGAGAGAUGGAAAUCAUCAGGUGACUUUAUUAUCCAGUUGCGUUCCGUGCACAAAUCCCUCUCUAUCUGUGAAGACAUUAACAAGAGCUGGAGACGAUCGACGAUCUCAAGUAUAUACAGAGUAUUUCAUUGUAUUAUUUCUGCAGUUUUGCUUGUCUACCUUUAUUUUAUAUUCAUAUUUGAUUUCAAAAUAUAUAUGGCAGCGUACAUGGAUUGUGAGAAGAGGAGCGCUGAAGAGUUUGAGCCGUGUUCGGAGGAUUUCUGAAAGCAGCGACAGCACUUGGAGUAUCUUUUACAGUGCUGGGACAAAAUACUGUGAAGCCAGAAAUACUUGCAACCAAAACAUUCAGUGAAUCACUCCCGUAAAACCUGUUUUACUCCAGAAAUGUGGCAGCCUGUUAAAAUAUAUGAAGUGCAAUUUGAUUUAGUGCCAAAUUCUUUUUUAUUUUUUUCUUGCGUGAAAACACAACUCAGGAAAGAAAUAUAUAAAAAAUCAGAAUCAAUUCUACAAUCAGCUUCUUUAAUCUUGUUUUUAUUAUUUUGUAUUUGUUUUGUUGUAUUAUUAUUAUUAUGAUUCAUGAUUGUAGCGGGUGCUGCUGAUUUUAUUAUAUUCGGUGAACAUUAGGUCUUGAUUUGUUAAAAUACCCUGAUUUAGAUGCUUAAUUUGCAUAGCUGAUCAACACCAUCAACAGGUGCUGCGGAUUGGGAGAUUACGAAAUGAUUAGCUUACCUUUAAAAGCGCCAUAGCGUUUGUCAUUUCAGAGUAGCGCACACUUUCCACGGAGCUGUUUUCCCGGGUGUCUGUCUGAUGGUUGUUUGAUGAGUGGAGAUAGAUCAGUUACAUUAUCUGUUUUUCCCAGCGUGAUUCAUUGUUAUUUUGAAUUAUUUUUAAUCACGACUUUAAUUUUAGUUCCAGUAUUUGUAGGGCGGGCCAUGAUAAAGAUGUUUGAAUCCAGACUCGCCUGAGGUAAUGUGAUUGAUUGUUUAAAGGUUCCUGUAGGGUGGGUUUAUGUAUUGCGUAGGUUACAGCCUGCCUGAGGUAAUGUGAUUGAUUGUUUAAAGGUACGUGUAGGGUGGGUUUAUGUAUUGUGUAGGUUACAGCCUGUCUGAGGUAAUGUGAUUGAUUGUUUAAAGGUUCGUGUAGGGUGGGUUUAUGAACCGUGUAGGUUACAGCCUGCCUGAGGUAAUGUGAUUUUAUAAAUAUUUCUAUUGUACAAUGGUAGUAGCGUGCUUUUGGGGAGAUUCUGACUUUUGUUCUUUAUUUUCAUAGGAUAAAGAACCCUCCCCACUGUUUUUCUUAGAUAGUGUCAAUAUGGGUUAUUUUUUAUAUAACUUUAGCAACGCUUUCAAACCAAUUGAUAGUUAUUUGAGAUCAUAUUGCACACGACUGAUUCGCCAUUUGCGUAUCACAUACUUUAUAUCCAAACUAAGCCUUUUGGGGAUUUUUCUGUGGAGGUGGUGCACUUCCUGUUAUUUGUUUGUUUAUUAAGCAGACGCCUUUAUCCAAGGCGACUUACAGAGACUAGGGUGUGUGAACUAUGCAUCAGUUGCAGAGUCACUUACAACUACGUCUCACCAGAAAGACAGAGCACAAGGAGGUGAAGUGACUUGCUCUGGGUCACACAAUGAGUCAGUGGCUGAGGUGAGAUUUGAACCGGGGACCUUCUGGUUACAAGCCCUUUUCUUUAACCACUGGACCACACAGCCUCCUUUCACUGCAGGGUGUUUUAUUUUGGAUGUUUUGGUAUUUGCUUGAGCACUGUGUGUUGUGUUAUUCUUGAUUCAGGAUAGUGAUAGAGUCACUGCAGGGUGUUUUAUUUUGGAUGUUUUGGUAUUUGCUUGAGCACUGUGUGUUGUGUUAUUCUUGAUUCAGGAUAGUGAUAGAGUCACUGCAGGGUGUUUUAUUCUGGAU